rnacentral:rRNA from 1 species
AGCGGGAAAAGCUCAAAUUUAAAAUCUGGCAGACUUUGUCUGUCCGAGUUGUAACCUAGAGAAGCGUAACCUGUGCUGGACCAUGUACAAGUCUCCUGGAAUGGAGCAUCACAGAGGGUGAGGAUCCCGUCUUUGACAUGGACUACCAGUACACUGUGGUUGCACACUCAACGAGUCGAGUUGUUUGGGAAUGCAGCUCUAAAUGGGUGGUAAAUUCCAUCUAAAGCUAAAUAUUGGCGAGAGACCGAUAGUGAACAAGUACCGUGAGGGAAAGAUGAAAAGAACUUUGGAAAGAGAGUUAAACAGUAUGUGAAAUUGUUGAAAGGGAAACGCUUGAAGUCAGCUGCGUUGGCUGGGGAUCAAGCCAGCUUAUUUGCUGGGUGUACUUCCUGGUUGACGGGUCAACAUCAGUUUUGACCAUCAGAGAAAGGCAAAGGGAAUGUGGCACCUUUUAGGUGUGUUAUAGCCCUUUGUUGUAUGUGGUGGUUGGGACUGAGGA